rnacentral:rRNA from 1 species
AUUGAACGCUGGCGGCAGGCCUAACACAUGCAAGUCGAGCGGAUGAAGGGAGCUUGCUCCUGGAUUCAGCGGCGGACGGGUGAGUAAUGCCUAGGAAUCUGCCUGGUAGUGGGGGAUAACGUCCGGAAACGGGCGCUAAUACCGCAUACGUCCUGAGGGAGAAAGUGGGGGAUCUUCGGACCUCACGCUAUCAGAUGAGCCUAGGUCGGAUUAGCUAGUUGGUGGGGUAAAGGCCUACCAAGGCGACGAUCCGUAACUGGUCUGAGAGGAUGAUCAGUCACACUGGAAGGGAGGCACGGUCCAGACUCCUACGAAGGGCAGCAGCGGGGAAGAUUGGACAAUGGGCGCAAUACUGAGCGAGGGACACCGCGUGGGUGAAGAAAUUAUUCGGGUUGUAAAGCGCUUUAAUUGAGGAAGAAGAGAAGAAGAAUAAAAUCUUGCUGGUCGCAAGAAAACCAAAAAAAAAGCAACGGGAAGCGGCGUG